rnacentral:rRNA from 1 species
GAGUUUGAUCCUGGCUCAGGACGAACGCGGGCGGCGUGCUUACACAUGCAAGUCGAACGGUGACGAGGAGCUUGCUCCUCUGAUCAGUGGCGAACGGGUGAGUAACACGUGAGCAAUCUGCCCUUGACUCUGGGAUAACUGCGGGAAACUGUAGCUAAUACCGGAUACGACCCUCGGAGGCAUCUCCUGGGGGUGGAAAGAAUUUUGGUCAAGGAUGAGCUCGCGGCCUAUCAGCUAGUUGGUGAGGUAAUGGCUCACCAAGGCGACGACGGGUAGCCGGCCUGAGAGGGUGACCGGCCACACUGGGACUGAGACACGGCCCAGACUCCUACGGGAGGCAGCAGUGGGGAAUACUGCACAAUGGGCGAAAGCCUGAUGCAGCAACGCCGCGUGAGGGACGAAGGCCUUCGGGUUGUAAACCUCUUUUAGUAGGGAAGAAGCGAUGUGCUUGCCACAAAGUGACGGUACCUGCAGAAAAAGCACCGGCUAACUACGUGCCAGCAGCCGCGGUAAUACGUAGGGUGCAAGCGUUGUCCGGAAUUAUUGGGCGUAAAGAGCUCGUAGGCGGUUUGUCGCGUCUGCUGUGAAAACCCGAGGCUCAACCUCGGGCCUGCAGUGGGUACGGGCAGACUAGAGUGCGGUAGGGGAGAUUGGAAUUCCUGGUGUAGCGGUGGAAUGCGCAGAUAUCAGGAGGAACACCAAUGGCGAAGGCAGAUCUCUGGGCCGUAACUGACGCUGAGGAGCGAAAGCAUGGGGAGCGAACAGGAUUAGAUACCCUGGUAGUCCAUGCCGUAAACGUUGGGAACUAGAUGUGGGGACCAUUCCACGGUCUCCGUGUCGCAGCUAACGCAUUAAGUUCCCCGCCUGGGGAGUACGGCCGCAAGGCUAAAACUCAAAGGAAUUGACGGGGGCCCGCACAAGCGGCGGAGCAUGCGGAUUAAUUCGAUGCAACGCGAAGAACCUUACCAAGGCUUGACAUAUAGAGGAAACGGCUGGAAACAGUCGCCCCGCAAGGUCUCUAUACAGGUGGUGCAUGGUUGUCGUCAGCUCGUGUCGUGAGAUGUUGGGUUAAGUCCCGCAACGAGCGCAACCCUCGUCCUAUGUUGCCAGCACGUAAUGAUGGGAACUCAUGGGAUACUGCCGGGGUCAACUCGGAGGAAGGUGGGGAUGACGUCAAAUCAUCAUGCCCCUUAUGUCUUGGGCUUCACGCAUGCUACAAUGGCCGGUACAAAGGGCUGCAAUACCGUAAGGUGGAGCGAAUCCCAAAAAGCCGGUCUCAGUUCGGAUUGAGGUCUGCAACUCGACCUCAUGAAGUCGGAGUCGCUAGUAAUCGCAGAUCAGCAACGCUGCGGUGAAUACGUUCCCGGGCCUUGUACACACCGCCCGUC